UCAUUUACUGGCUGGCAAGUGUAAGGGGAUUAUUUCUACUUGGAGACUACUUUCUUCUGGGAGUUUUUUAGUGGGUCCUUACCUUGGGAGUGGGAAUGAAGAAGGUUUCCUGCAGGAGGGGGUGGUGAAUAAUACUGAUAUUCCUGUGGAUCCUGAGAAUGAGGCAUAUGAAAUGCCUCCAGAGGAAGAGUAUCAAGAUUAUGAACCUGAAGCAUGAGAAAUCUUUUCUUCCUUUGUAUCUCCUGAAAUCUACUAACAAAGACGUCCCAUCCUGUACAAGUGCUGAGUUCCAAUGUGCCCAGUCGUAAAAUUUUUUUACAGUUUUUACAGUGUAUUUUGAAGUCUUCCAUCAGCAAUGAUUGGAGUAUCUGUGACUGCAUCCACCUUGUUUCGGCAUUUCCCUCCUGCUGAAACAAAAGCUGGUUGGCAGGGUCAUUGUUGUACUGUGGAUAUUGUGGCUUCACUUUUAAAAGUUAAAAACAAAAUGCUAAAUAAAAACACCUAAGUGUCUACUGCUUAUUUCUAAAUCUGUACAUGUUUUGUUGAUAGGCUGUCAGUAAUUUGAUAUUGUUUAUGAUACGAUUUUUAUUUGUUUCCUAUGACUAUUAUUUCUGUGCAGAAAAGACUUAUUGUGAAAGCUUUAUGUAAAUGUGUAUGUAUUAUAUAUAUAAAAAAGUAACUGAGCAUGAACUAUGCACCUAUAAAUAUUAACUGUUGAAAUUUUAUUGUUUUGUGAUGUGUUUUAUUAACUUGUGUCUGUAAAUAAUGGUGUUCAACUGAAGCAAAUAAAAUGUAACCUGUUAAAAAUGAGCUUCUAGGCUAGUAGUUAUUUAUAACAGCUAAUUAUCUCUCCAAGAGCAUGCAUUGAAGAAUUUGGGUUUUGUGGCUUCCUGAGAAGGAACAGGGGGAACAAAAGAAGCAAACAAGCCUGCUCUAUACUAAAAGCAGAAUGAAGAAUGUGAGUAUCAGGACUGGCCUUACAGUGCUUUGAAAACUGUUGUUUCAGUUUACGUUGUUGUCCUCAAGUCUCAAGGGAAACUAUCUAGGGAAAGCUAUUUUUCAAAAGAAUUGCAAUCAAACUCUUGUUUAAAAACUGUUAUCAUCUCCUUGAUCAUUUCAAACAGUUUGUGGAUAUUUUCACCAAUAGUUAAAGUGCAUAAUGAAGAUUAAAGCCCUUUGCUCUUCUGCAGAACCUUUUCAUGGUAACCUGCAACAAACCACUGUCAAUUUGCAGUCAGCUUCACAAACUAUGUGUCAAAAGAAUCUCCUGACAUGGACAUAUUUACUGUUAAAAGGCUAUGUUAAUGUCUCUUGUUUGCUUCCAUGGUAAGUAAAUAUCAGGAUGGCAUACAAUGUAUGAUCACACUUCUGUAAUUAUUAAUAUUGUUAAAGGAUUUUUCUAUUCUUUGUGAAGGAAUUAGGAAGAAAAGCUCAGUGAUGCAGUGUUGCGGGUUGUUGUUUUUGUUUUUUUUUUCUCCCUAGUGAGCUAGCAGAGUCUUGGCCACCAAAAGCAGUAACAGAGCUGUCACCCUGAUGAUUGGUCAGAUGCCUGAUGUACUACAGCAGAUACUGGAAACAGCCGUCUAGAUAUAAAAUACAGUUCUAAUGUUCAUCUUCCCCAGGUCUCAACUACUGUAUUGUUCCUAUAUUAGGGAGUCAAACUGCUUUGUUGCUCAGAUGUUGCAGAUAAGUCAUAUAGCUUCUUAAAUAAGAUCUGGGAAGCAGUUUGUCCUAAAAGGAGUAAUAACAAUAAAUUGAUUCCUGAGAUACGACAAUUUUCUGAGCAUGUAAAGAUUAUUUUCUUUCAUAGGCUAACAUCAGCAAGUUAUUCAGAGUUUUCAAGUUGUUCCUUCAAAAUGUAUCAUAGGCAUUUGGUGUAUUUCUCAUGCCUGUUGCCAACAUGCCCUCAGAUGACCCUGAUGGUCCGUGGGAUCCUGGUUACUAUGGUAGCACAGUGUGAUACACUGCUCUGGUAACAAGCUGUGCUCUAAUUAGAUUCCUUAAGGACUGUCCAACCAUCCUUUCCAGAUGUUGCAUGAAACA